AGUAGCGGCAUGCUACGUCGUAUGGGGAAUGGCUCGGCUCGAGCGCCGAUGAAGGUCGUGUCAAGCUGCGAUAUGCGCCGGGU
rnacentral:rRNA from 1 species